GCUCUUUAUUCUUCUGUCAUC
rnacentral:miRNA from 1 species